rfam:Leminorella grimontii ATCC 33999 = DSM 5078 strain ATCC 33999 GLGR.assembly.14, whole genome shotgun sequence.
GGAUUUUGCUAUUAGGCGGGAUACAGCCUAACGGGAUGCCUCGGCCCACAAAAUAAACCGAGCGCUUUUUUUGAUUUGAACUAGUUAUUGGAAAUGCAUGAACCCUAUCAUUAUUGAAAGGCUACAGCGAAAGCUGGGGUAUACGUUCCAAC